GCUAGCGUUGCUCGGAAUCACUGGGCGUAAAGGGUGCGUAGGCGGGUCUUUAAGUCAGGGGUGAAAUCCUGGAGCUCAACUCCAGAACUGCCUUUGAUACUGAAGAUCUUGAGUCCGGGAGAGGUGAGUGGAACUGCGAGUGUAGAGGUGAAAUUCGUAGAUAUUCACAAGAACACCAGUGGCGAAGGCGGCUCACUGGCCCGGUACUGACGCUGAGGCACGAAAGCGUGGGGAGCAAACAGG
rnacentral:rRNA from 1 species